rnacentral:misc_RNA from 1 species
CAACCAAAGAUCAAUGGAUGGUGCAAGGGAUUCAGAGAUAGCAAUGGGAGGUUACCAGCCAUAUCAUUUAUCAACUAGAGAGCCAGCACGAGGCCAAAUCCAUGGCUUCCGUUUGGCAUUAUGGUAUGAACAUUUAGGAUUGCUUCAUCAAUCCUUCCUGUUCCCAGAAAGUGUUGAAUGUGUUAAAAGAGUAAACCAACUUGCUGAAAAAUAUUGGGAUUUAUACUCAAGUGAGAGCUUUGAACAUGACCUUCCUGGCCACUUGCUUCGCU